UUUUUGUUUUUUCGUGUCCAACGUUUGAUCAUUCGUCUUAUUUGAAAAAUUUGUACAAAAAAUUAAAAAAAAUUAGUCACAUAUAAAGUAUUGUUCAUAUUUUAUCAUUUAGUAAUAAUAAAAAUAUUAAUCGCAAAAAAAUUUCAAAUAAUACAAAUGGUCAAACAUUGGACAUGGAAAAAC
rnacentral:pre_miRNA from 1 species